AUGGCCAGGUAUGUGUGUGUCGCUUACCUGGGGAACACCUGGCAUCAGGAUGCACUGUGGGAAGAAGGUGAUACUCGUCCCAUCCUGACAGUGCUGCCCCCCUCCAGUGAGGAGCUGCAGCAGGGCAAUGCCACAAUCACAUGUCUGGCCAACAAGGGCUUCCCCUCAGACUGGAGGCUGUCCUGGAAGGUGGACGGCAGCGGCAGCAUCAGCUGGGAGGAGAGCAGGAGCCCUGUGGUGCUGCACAAGGACGGCCUCUACAGCUGGAGCAGCACCCUGAGGCUCCCUGCAGAUCGGUGGGGGAAGGUGGGCUCUGUGACCUGUGAGGCCACCCAGGGCUGCCAGACUCUGGUCUCAGAGCCACUCAGGAGAGACCAGUGUUCCCAGUCCUGA